rnacentral:rRNA from 1 species
UACGAAGGGUGCAAACGUUGCUCGGAAUUAUUGGGCGUAAAGCGCACGUAGGCGGCAUUGCAAGUCGGAUGUGAAAUCCCUCGGCUUAACCAAGGAAGUGCAUCCGAAACUGCAGUGCUUGAGUACUUAAGAGGAUCGCGGAAUUCCUGGUGUAGAGGUGAAAUUCGUAGAUAUCGGGAGGAACACCAGUGGCGAAGGCGGCGAUCUGGGAAGAUACUGACGCUGAGGUGCGAAAGCGUGGGGAGCAAACAGG